rnacentral:rRNA from 1 species
GACGAACGCUGGCGGCGUGCUUAACACAUGCAAGUCGAACGGAAAGGCCCUGCUUUUGUGGGGUGCUCGAGUGGCGAACGGGUGAGUAACACGUGAGUAACCUGCCCUUGACUUUGGGAUAACUUCAGGAAACUGGGGCUAAUACCGGAUAGGAGCUCCUGCUGCAUGGUGGGGGUUGGAAAGUUUCGGCGGUUGGGGAUGGACUCGCGGCUUAUCAGCUUGUUGGUGGGGUAGUGGCUUACCAAGGGUUUGACGGGUAGCCGGCCUGAGAGAGUAACCGGGCACAUUAGGACUGAGAUACGCCCCAGACUCCUACGGGAGGCAGCAGUGGGGAAUAUUGCGCAAUGGGCGGAAGCCUGAUGCGACAACGCCGCGUGCGGGAUGACGGCCUUCGGUUUGUAAACCGCUUUCGCCUGUGACGAAGCGUGAGUGACGGUAAUGGGUAAGGAAGCACCGGCUAACUACGUG